GCAGGCCUAACACAUGCAAGUCGAGCGGAUGAGUGGAGCUUGCUCCAUGAUUCAGCGGCGGACGGGUGAGUAAUGCCUAGGAAUCUGCCUGGUAGUGGGGGACAACGUUUCGAAAGGAACGCUAAUACCGCAUACGUCCUACGGGAGAAAGUGGGGGAUCUUCGGACCUCACGCUAUCAGAUGAGCCUAGGUCGGAUUAGCUAGUUGGCGAGGUAAAGGCUCACCAAGGCGACGAUCCGUAACUGGUCUGAGAGGAUGAUCAGUCACACUGGAACUGAGACACGGUCCAGACUCCUACGGGAGGCAGCAGUGGGGAAUAUUGGACAAUGGGCGAAAGCCUGAUCCAGCCAUGCCGCGUGUGUGAAGAAGGUCUUCGGAUUGUAAAGCACUUUAAGUUGGGAGGAAGGGCAGUAAGUUAAUACCUUGCUGUUUUGACGUUACCGACAGAAUAAGCACCGGCUAACUUCGUGCCAGCAGCCGCGGUAAUACGAAGGGUGCAAGCGUUAAUCGGAAUUACUGGGCGUAAAGCGCGCGUAGGUGGUUCGUUAAGUUGGAUGUGAAAGCCCCGGGCUCAACCUGGGAACUGCAUCCAAAACUGGCGAGCUAGAGUAGGCAGAG
rnacentral:rRNA from 1 species